CAAAGAGUAGUUUAAGUUAAAAUACUGGUUUUGGGGGCUAGAGAUAGAGAGUCUCUCUUUGA
rnacentral:tRNA from 1 species